GACGAACGCUGGCGGCGUGCCUAAUACAUGCAAGUCGAACGCUGAAGAGAGGAGCUUGCUCUUCUUGGAUGAGUUGCGAACGGGUGAGUAACGCGUAGGUAACCUGCCUUGUAGCGGGGGAUAACUAUUGGAAACGAUAGCUAAUACCGCAUAACAAUGGAUGACACAUGUCAUUUAUUUGAAAGGGGCAAUUGCUCCACUACAAGAUGGACCUGCGUUGUAUUAGCUAGUAGGUGAGGUAAUGGCUCACCUAGGCGACGAUACAUAGCCGACCUGAGAGGGUGAUAGGACACACUGGGACUGAGACACGGCCCAGACUCCUACGGGAGGCAGCAGUAGGGAAUCUUCGGCAAUGGGGGCAACCCUGACCGAGCAACGCCGCGUGAGUGAAGAAGGUUUUCGGAUCGUAAAGCUCUGUUGUAAGUCAAGAACGGGUGUGAGAGUGGAAAGUUCACACUGUGACGGUAGCUUACCAGAAAGGGACGGCUAACUACGUG
rnacentral:rRNA from 1 species